rnacentral:rRNA from 1 species
UACGUAGGAGACGAGCGUUGUCCGGAGUUACUGGGCGUAAAGGGUGCGCAGGUGGCGGCGCGCGUGGGGGGUGAAAUCGCCCGGCUUAACUGGGCGGGGGCCUUCCAGACGGCGUGGCUUGAGCAGCGGAGGGGGACGUGGAAUUCCCGGUGUAGUGGUGGAAUGCGUAGAUAUCGGGAGGAACACCAGUGGCGAAGGCGGUUGCCUGGGGCUUUGCUGACGCUGAUGCGCGAAAGCGUGGGGAGCGAUCCGG